UAGAGAAUAGUAUAAUGGGAUUACAGAGGGUUUUGAUGUCUCUGAUGCAGGUUCAACUCCUGCUUCUCUAA
rnacentral:tRNA from 1 species